UUACGGCCACAUCACGUUGAAACACCGGUUCUCGUAUGAUCACCGAUGUUAAGCAAUGUAGAUCCUUGUCAGUACCUAGAUGGAUGACCGCUUGGGAAUACCAGGUGAUGUAA